rnacentral:rRNA from 1 species
UGAAUACGAGACGCUAAGGCGUCGAAGUAGUGUAUGUCAUACUUCCAAGAAAAGCUUGCACUGUCAUAGAUAAAAAACGCCUGUACCAUAACCGACACAGGUGGGUAGGUAGAGUAUACUAAGGGGCGCGAGAUAACUCUCUCUAAGGAACUCGGCAAAAUAACUCCGUAACUUCGGGAGAAGGAGUGCCUUAUUCGUAAGGUUGCAAUAACAAGAUCCAAGCAACUGUUUAUCAAAAACACAGGUCUCCGCUAAGUCGUAAGACGAAGUAUGGGGGCUGACGCCUGCCCAGUGCCAGAAGGUUAAAGAAGUUGGUUAGCAAUUGCGAAGCUGAUAACUGAAGCCCUGGUGAACGGCGGCCGUAACUAUAACGGUCCUAAGGUAGCGAAAUUCCUUGUCGGGUAAGUUCCGACCCGCACGAAAGGCGUAAUGAUUUGGAUACUGUCUCGGAGAGGGGCUCGGUGAAAUAGACUUGUCUGUGAAGAUGCGGACUACCUGCACCAGGACAGAAAGACCCUAUGAAGCUUUACUGUAACUUGAAAUUGAAAUUGGACUUUAUUCGCGCAGUAUAGGUGGGAGGCGUUGAUUAUAAUCUUGUGGGAUUAUUGGAGCCAUCAGUGAGAUACCACUCUUGUAAUGUUAGAUUUCUAACUUUGAAUCAUUAUCUGGUCAAAGAACAGUUUCAGGCGGGCAGUUUGACUGGGGCGGUCGCCUCCUAAACGGUAACGGAGGCGUACAAAGGUUUCCUCUGAACGGUUAGAAAUCGUAUCUAGAGUGUAAAGGCAUAAGGAAGCUUGACUGUGAGACCUACAAGUCGAGCAGGGACGAAAGUCGGUCUUAGUGAUCUGACGGUACUGAGUGGAAAGGCCGUCACUCAACGGAUAAAAGUUACUCUAAGGAUAACAGGCUGAUCUCCCCCAAGAGUUCACAUCGACGGGGAGGUUUGGCACCUCGAUGUCGGCUCAUCGCAUCCUGGGGCGGUAGUACGUCCCAAGGGUUGGGCUGUUCGCCCAUGAAAGCGGUACGCGAGCUGGGUUCAGAACGUCGUGAGACAGUUCGGUCCAUAUCCGGUGUAGGCGUUAGAAUAUUGAGAGGAGCCUUCUUUAGUACGAGAGGACCGAGAAGGACAUACCUCUGGUGUACCAGUUAUCGUGCCAACGGUAAACGCUGGGUAGCUAUGUAUGGAGUGGAUAACCGCUGAAAGCAUCUAAGUGGGAAGCCCACCUCAAGAUAAGUAUUCUCAUC